UGGCACCAUGAUCUUACCACUGGAACAACAGGGCACAUGAAAUGGGAUCUGCAAAGAUUGAUUCCUGGGGACUUCAUCUACGGCCCAGGUCUGCUGUACCUACCAGAGAUGCUUACACAUGGCCCAUGGGAUGCUUCCUGAUAGUCUCCAGUUCUGAUUUUUAGCCUCCUGUGAAGCAACGUCUCCCAUCUCUGCUCUCCCUCAGCAACUGUCCUUCCCCCUCAUGAAGCAUACAGCGGAGUCUCAGGGCACCUUCUGAGACGGGAGAUGGCCGCAUACCCGGAUGGAUGGGCGUGCUCAGACAUUGCAUUAGCCACACACAACAAGUUACUUCUCUCCUCUCUCCGGGAUCCCAAGGUGGAGUUCUGGCAUAAUGACUUAGUUGCUUCUUUUGUCCUGUUAUUCAUCAUAGCCGCAGAAUGCAAACUAGGACACUAGACUCCAGCAGCCGUAUCACUUCUGAUGGCCAGGAGGAUGUUGGGUACAAGCCGUGACGAAUUGGCAGAGCUCUGGGAUGGAAAUCUGUAACUUGAUCAAACUUGCUUUUUCCUACACAGCUCUCCAGGGGAUGGUGAUCCACACAGCACUGUGGCGUUUCCAGCCUGCUUUUCUUCAUUAAGAAGAUCGUGUGA